CAAACUUCCAACACUAUGUUGAAUAGUAGUCGUGAGAGUGGGCACCCUUGUCUUCUUCUCGAUUUUAGGCCUCCACUUGACUCAUUGCAAAAGACCCUGAUGCUGGGAAAGACUGAAGGCAAAAAGAGAAGAGGGCGGCAGCGGAUGAGAUGUUAAGAUAGCAUCGCCAACUCAAUGGACAUGAAUCUGAGCAAACUCUGGGAGACAGUGAAGGAUAGAGAAGCCUGUCAUGCUGCAGUCCCUGGGGUUACAAAGAGCUGGACUGGACUUAGCAAUUGAAGAGCAACAAUCACAUGACUCAGUGGUUCUAUGGCUGUACAAAGACCACUUUGUUCUGCUCUCUUUUGCCUAGACACCCUAAAUUUUCUAAUGCUCUUUUUGACUAUUUUACCUGUCACAAUGUUGCUUCCUUAGUAAUCUGUAAUCAGGAGACUGUCAUUCUUGGUUGAACCAAAUUCACAGUAGGUGAUCAGAAACGAUGAUUAUUCACACGUAAAUAUUCACUGGUAAAGUUUCUCAUAGGUCGAAGGAAAAUUAAAUAAAGACAUUUAGGUGGUGUAGAAUAA